CCUACGUGAGGCAGCAGUGGGGAAUAUUGCGCCAUGGGCGAAAGCCUGCCGCCGCGACGCCGCGUGAGGGAUGAAGGUCUUCGGAUCGUAAACCUCUGUCAGCAGGGAAGAACGGUCACUGUGCUAAUCAGCCUUGAAUUGACGGUACCUGCAAAGGCAGCACCGGCUAACUCCGUGCCAGCAGCCGCUGUAAUACGGCGGGUGCGAGCGUUAAUCGGAAUUACUGGGCGUAAAGCGCUCGUAGGCGGUAGGUCAAGUCAAGGGUGAAAUCCCCGCGCUCAACGUGGGAAGUGCCUUUGAAACUGGCAAACUGGAGUGUGUGAGAGGAUAGUGGAAGUCCAGGUGUAGGAGUGAAAUCCGUAGAUAUCUGGAGGAACAUCAGUGGCGAAGGCGACUAUCUGGCACAUAACUGACGCUGAGGAGCGAAAGCGUGGGUAGCAAACAGGAUUAGAUACCCCUGUAGUC
rnacentral:rRNA from 1 species